GCGGCCUGACGUAACCGGGCGCUCGGCCCCGCCGAACGCGGCUGACGCUGCGCGGCCAGAGAGCAGGCCCCGCCGCCGCCUGGGCUUGGAACGCAGCGCGCGCGGCCAUGGCCUCCGGCGCCGCAGCUAAGCGGGCGCAGGGCGAGCGGGCGGCGAGACGGCAGCCCCGGCCCCGGCCCCGUCCCCAGCGCGGGGCUGACCGUGUGCCCCCUCGUCUCGUCCCACAGAGGCGGACCCUCGACAGAGGCUGCUGCGCACCGUCAAGAAGGAGGAGGAGAUAAGAAUGCUGAGGAAGACUCUAUAACCAGUCUUUCUGACAAACCUGGUCCUGGAGAUUCAUGGCCUACAUCAGCUAGCCAAGACGUAGAUUUCGGUACCAAGGAAGGAACAGCAAAGUCAGCAAUGGAAGCAAAGGAAGAUGGUGUUGGUAUUAUUGAAAAUGUGCCACCAGAGCAAACAGUUAAUGACAGUGUGACUUCUGCUGGUGGAGUGCAUAAAAAUUGCAGAAGUGAUAUGAUGUCAGCAUUAGAAUUAGGAGAAGAGGAAGAUGUAGAAUCACCUUCUCUUCCUGAGGUACUGUCUUCUUCUUAUUUUUAAGUAUAAGCAUGGAGUGAUGUUAAAACGUCCAAGAGAUGCUUUGACUUCACUCUCUCAUCUCUGCAUUUGCCCACAGAAACAACUUCCUUCUAUGUUUUCCUAUAUGUGAUAAAAUAAUUAUGUGUUAAUUAUGAGCACACAGCAUAGUAGAGUUCUGCUAAUUUGCAGACGUAAUGAAAGUUGUGUAGUAUUAGUGCAGAAAACGAAGGCUUGGAGGGAAUGAGUUUGGGUUUUGAAGUUAAGGUAUCUGAAACACUAAAGAAUUACUCUAGGUCAACGUAUGGCCAAGUGUAUGAUCCUGUGGUGUAUACGGGAUCAUGUGUCAGACUCCUCCUGACAUCCAGAAAGAGUUUGGAUUAUGGUGUUUACAACUUGAACCUUCCAAAGAUAUGGCCUGGGACUUGAUAAUAAUAUGUUUGGAUUGUCAAGUAGAUCUACAAGGAGCAUUGGGAUUAUGAUGAGCACAGUUUGGUUUAGUGGUGCUUCAAUAAGUAAAACCCAUUUUGGAUAAUUAAAAUAACUUCGCAGUCCUACUUGUGGUAAUGUAAGUAAAGUAAUGAUGACCUAUUCUAAGGUGACAACUAGGGAAGGAGGUGAAAAGGUUCUGAUCUCUUAGGCUCAGGCAGCUGCUGCAUAAUGCUACAAGCACUGUACUUGAAAUCAAAAGACAUGCUAGCAUCUUGGUUCCGUCACUUCCUAGCUGUGGCAUCUUGGAAAAACUUGCUUGAAUGUCAAUGACCUCGUUCCUAAAAAUGGCACUAAUAGCCACCUCUUGGUUAUGUGGAAUGAACAAAUGUGGCAACGUUUUGUAAACUGUAAAGCGUGCUAUAGAAAUAGAAGACAAAAUGAUCGCAGUGGCUUUUAGUGACUUACUAUAUAUUGAGGAUACUUUGUUUGGUGAAUGUUUGUUUAUUGUUGAGAGCGGGGUGGGGGGACAGAAGAUCCGAAGCAGGCUCUGCACUGAGAGCAAGGAGCCCAAUGCAGGACUCGAACUCAUGAAAUUGAGAACAUGACCUGAGCCAAAGUUGGGCGCCUAGUCGACUAAGUCACCCAGGCCCCCCAAGAAAAUACUUGUUUGAAAUGUGAAGAUGUCUGAAGGCCAAUAAAAUGGCCAUAGUGUCCAGAAAAGAAUGGGAAAGUAGGAACGGGGUUUUGAUUUUCUAAUUUGGCUCUAUGUUAAGUUCCAGUAAUCUCUUGGUGGAGACAUCAUACAGGUAUGCAGUUGACCCUUGAACCAGGUGGGUUUGUACCGUGGGAGUCCACUUACACACAGAUAUUUUUCAAUAAAUAGAGUACUCUCCUGUAAACGUAUUUUCUGUUCC